rnacentral:rRNA from 1 species
GCAACGCCGCGUGAGGGACGACGGCCUUCGGGUUGUAAACCUCUUUUAGCAGGGAAGAAGCGAAAGUGACGGUACCUGCAGAAAAAGCACCGGCUAACUACGUGCCAGCAGCCGCGGUAAUACGUAGGGUGCAAGCGUUGUCCGGAAUUAUUGGGCGUAAAGAGCUCGUAGGCGGUUUGUCGCGUCUGCUGUGAAAUCCCGAGGCUCAACCUCGGGCCUGCAGUGGGUACGGGCAGACUAGAGUGCGGUAGGGGAGAUUGGAAUUCCUGGUGUAGCGGUGGAAUGCGCAGAUAUCAGGAGGAACACCGAUGGCGAAGGCAGAUCUCUGGGCCGUAACUGACGCUGAGGAGCGAAAGCGUGGGGAGCGAACAGGAUUAGAUACCCUGGUAGUCCACGCCGUAAACGUUGGGAACUAGAUGUGGGGACCAUUCCACGGUCUCCGUGUCGCAUCUAACGCAUUAAGUUCCCCGCCUGGGGAGUACGGCCGCAAGGCUAAAACUCAAAGGAAUUGACGGGGGCCCGCACAAGCGGCGGAGCAUGCGGAUUAAUUCAAUGCAACGCGAAGAACCUUACCAAGGCUUGACAUAUACCAGAACGGGCCAGAAAUGGUCAACUCUUUGGACA